rnacentral:rRNA from 1 species
GUAAGGAAUAUUGGUCAAUGGACGCAAGUCUGAACCAGCCAUGCCGCGUGAAGGAUUAAGGUCCUCUGGAUUGUAAACUUCUUUUAUAUGGGACGAAAAAAGAUCUUUCUAGAUCCCUUGACGGUACCAUAUGAAUAAGCACCGGCUAACUCCGUGCCAGCAGCCGCGGUAAUACGGAGGGUGCAAGCGUUAUCCGGAUUCACUGGGUUUAAAGGGUGCGUAGGCGGGUAGGUAAGUCAGUGGUGAAAUCCUGGAGCUCAACUCCAGAACUGCCAUUGAUACUAUUUAUCUUGAAUAUUGUGGAGGUAAGCGGAAUAUGUCAUGUAGCGGUGAAAUGCUUAGAUAUGACAUAGAACACCCAUUGCGAAGGCAGCUUACUACGCAUAUAUUGACGCUGAGGCACGAAAGCGUGGGGAUCAAA